rnacentral:rRNA from 1 species
UGGGGAAUUUUGGACAAUGGGCGAAAGCCUGAUCCAGCAAUGCCGCGUGUGUGAAGAAGGCCUUCGGGUUGUAAAGCACUUUUGUCCGGAAAGAAAUCCUUGGCUCUAAUACAGUCGGGGGAUGACGGUACCGGAAGAAUAAGCACCGGCUAACUACGUGCCAGCAGCCGCGGUAAUACGUAGGGUGUAAGCGUUAAUCGGAAUUACUGGGCGUAAAGCGUGCGCAGGCGGUUUGCUAAGACCGAUGUGAAAUCCCCGGGCUCAACCUGGGAACUGCAUUGGUGACUGGCAGGCUAGAGUAUGGCAGAGGGGGGUAGAAUUCCACGUGUAGCAGUGAAAUGCGUAGAGAUGUGGAGGAAUACCGAUGGCGAAGGCAGCCCCCUGGGCCAAUACUGACGCUCAUGCACGAAAAGCGUGGGGAGCAAAACAGGAUUAGAUACCCUGGUAGUCCACGCCCUAAAACGAUGUCAACUAGUUGUUGGGGAUUCAUUUCCUUAGUAACGUAGCUAACGCGUGAAGUUGACCGCCUGGGGAGUAACGGUCGCAAGAUUAAAACUUAAAUGAAUUGACGGGGUCAUAGCUGUUUCCU